rnacentral:rRNA from 1 species
CCCUUAGACGUCCUGGGCCGCACGCGUGCUACACUGAUACGUACAACAAGGUAUAUGCAUUCAUGCAUCGAUGCUGCUCCGAAAUAGACACAGCUAAAUCUUCUAAAAUACGUAUCGUGCUGCGGAUAGAUCGUUGAAAUUAUGGAUCUUGAAGGUGGAAUUCCUAGUAAGCGCGGGUCAUCAACCCGCGUUGAUUACGUCCCUGCCCUUUGUACACACCGCCCGUCGCUCCUACCAAUUUCGAGUGGCUCGGUGAACCUCUUUGGACUGUCGAGCAAUCGCGAAAUUAGAGUGAACCUGGUCACUUAGAGGAAGGAGAANUCGUAACA